CCUACGGGAGGCAGCAGUAAGGAAUAUUGGUCAAUGGAGGCAACUCUGAACCAGCCAUGCCGCGUGCAGGAAGACGGCCCUAUGGGUUGUAAACUGCUUUUGAACUAGAGAAAACCUUGGUACGUGUACCGAGUUGAUAGUAUAGUUAGAAUAAGCAUCGGCUAACUUCGUGCCAGCAGCCGCGGUAAGACGAAGGAUGCAAGCGUUAUCCGGAUUCAUUGGGUUUAAAGGGUGCGUAGGCGGACUGAUAAGUCAGUGGUGAAAUCUCUCAGCUUAACUGAGAAACUGCCAUUGAUACUGUUAGUCUAGAGUACAGAUGAUGUGGGCGGAAUAUGACAUGUAGUGGUGAAAUACUUAGAUAUGUCAUAGAACACCGAUUGCGAAGGCAGCUCACAAAACUGUAACUGACGCUGAGGCACGAAAGUGCGGGGAUCAAACAGGAUUAGAUACCCUGGUAGUCCGCACCGUAAACGAUGAUUACUCGUUGUUGGCGAUAUGACAGUCAGCGACCAAGCGAAAGCGAUAAGUUAAUUCCACCUUGGGGAGUACGCCGGCACGGUGAACGUUAAUUGAAUUGACGGNNGAGAGNGCGAGGACGACGACGAGGAGAGG
rnacentral:rRNA from 1 species